rnacentral:lncRNA from 1 species
AAAUAACAAUCCCCUUUCCCUGCUUUUCCUGUGGUACCUCUCUCACUUGAGAAAUAUCCAGCAGGGGGUAGUGUGCCCACACCGUACAGCGUGGUCCUACCUCCAGCAGAAAGCUGGAGCGGCGCAGAAAAUGAGCAUUGGGAUCCCUUCAGAGACACGCUGACACUGUGAGACAUCCUGUGCCAUCCCGUGAAGCACAUGCCUUUGAUCUCAGCUGUUUGCUUAGGAAGCGAGGAGCGGUGUCGCUAUGCUGCGUCGAACAACAGCUUGUCGGGUACCAUCGGCUUUGAUCGUACGCCCUACAGCACUGUAGCACAGAAAGAAGACUUGAGGGAAGAAGGAUUUGUCUCAGUCUGCCUUCCCCAGGAUCUUCAGCACUGCUGCAGACCUCUCCUUCCUGCUGGAGGAUCACUUCUGAAGGGUGGACCUGGUGGGCAGAGGAUAGACACGCUGGCUGAAACGCUGCCUUCUGGAACCGCUUCCAUGACGAAGCCAGAGUCAGGACUGCUCCCUCCUCCGCGGUAUGUGUCUCUCCAGACUGUAAGAGGACCUACAUGGAGGAAGUCACAGCCCCAUCCUCAUCUUUCUUCAUCCUGCUCCUGCUUGUAAUUAUGAAGAUAUUUGUAUUAAAUAAAGCUUUGUAAAAAUAAAUCGUAACGAUGAAGGUUUUGUGUGAGGAUGAGACACCCAGAGCAGCCGAGACCCUACGGCAGACAUCGCAGCGUGCCGUCCUUCAGGUACCAUACGGGUGUAUGAGAAAAAUGAGUUUCAAGGACUGGUGCUCAUAACCUAGGACCCUCACCUGCAACGUGCCAGGCCUAGGGCAAGACCCUGACCCCAUCGCUGCGACUUGAGCCUGGACCCAACCCACUGGACUAUCUUGGUUAUUCUUUCCUUCCUUUCUCCUUCCCAGUGAUAAGAGGUCUUGUAAAAUUCCUAAUAACAAUAAAAAUACAUGUUGAAGCUUCA